AUAGUUUGAUCCUGGCUCAGGAUGAACGCUGGCGGCGUGCUUAACACAUGCAAGUCGAACGAACCUUCGGGUUAGUGGCGGACGGGUGAGUAACGCGUGGGAAUCUGCCCUCAGGAGGGGGAUAACGGCUGGAAACGGCCGCUAAUACCCCAUAUGCCGAGAGGUGAAAGGAAAUUCGCCUGAGGAUGAGCCCGCGUCUGAUUAGCUAGUUGGUGGGGUAAGAGCUUACCAAGGCGACGAUCAGUAGCUGGUCUGAGAGGAUGAUCAGCCACACUGGGACUGAGACACGGCCCAGACUCCUACGGGAGGCAGCAGUGGGGAAUUUUCCGCAAUGGGCGAAAGCCUGACGGAGCAACGCCGCGUGAGGGAUGAAGGCCUCUGGGCUGUAAACCUCUUUUCUCAAGGAAGAAGAUAUGACGGUACUUGAGGAAUAAGCCACGGCUAAUUCCGUGCCAGCAGCCCGGUAAUACGGGAGUGGCAAGCGUUAUCCGGGAUUAUUGGGCGUAAAGCGUCCGCAGGCGGCCCUGUAAGUCUGUCGUUAAAGCGUGGAGCUUAACUCCAUUUAAGCGAUGGAAACUACAGGGCUUGAGUGUGGUAGGGGCAGAGGGAAUUCCCGGUGUAGCGGUGAAAUGCGUAGAUAUCGGGAAGAACACCAGUGGCGAAGGCGCUCUGCUGGGCCAUAACUGACGCUCAUGGACGAAAGCCAGGGGAGCGAAAGGGAUUAGAUACCCCUGUAGUCCUGGCCGUAAACGAUGAACACUAGGUGUCGGGGGAAUCGACCCCCUCGGUGUCGUAGCCAACGCGUUAAGUGUUCCGCCUGGGGAGUACGCACGCAAGUGUGAAACUCAAAGGAAUUGACGGGGGCCCGCACAAGCGGUGGAGUAUGUGGUUUAAUUCGAUGCAACGCGAAGAACCUUACCAGGGUUUGGCAUCCUGCGAAUCCCUUGGAAACGAGGGAGUGCCUUCGGGAGCGCAGAGACAGGUGGUGCAUGGCUGUCGUCAGCUCGUGUCGUGAGAUGUUGGGUUAAGUCCCGCAACGAGCGCAACCCACGUCUUUAGUUGCCAGCAUUCAGUUGGGCACUCUAGAGAGACCGCCGGUGAUAAACCGGAGGAAGGUGUGGAUGACGUCAAGUCAUCAUGCCCCUUACAUCCUGGGCUACACACGUACUACAAUGCUACGGACAAAGGGCAGCAAGCUCGCGAGAGUUAGCAAAUCCCAUAAACCGUGGCUCAGUUCAGAUCGUAGGCUGCAACUCGCCUACGUGAAGGAGGAAUCGCUAGUAAUCGCAGGUCAGCAUACUGCGGUGAAUACGUUCCCGGGCCUUGUACACACCGCCCGUCACACCAUGGAAGUUGGCCAUGCCCGAAGUCGUUACUCCAACCC
rnacentral:rRNA from 1 species